GACGAACGCUGGCGGCGUGCUUAACACAUGCAAGUCGAACGGUGAAGCGCCUUCCUUUUUGGUGGGUGUGGAUGAGUGGCGAACGGGUGAGUAACACGUGAGUAACCUGCCCCCUUCUUCUGGAUAACCGCAUGAAAGUGUGGCUAAUACGGGAUAUUCUGGGUCUGUCGCAUGAUGGGUCUGGGAAAGAUAUUGUUUCGGGGGGGGAUGGGCUCGCGGCCUAUCAGCUUGUUGGUGGGGGGAUGGCCUACCAAGGCGGUGACGGGUAGCCGGCCUGAGAGGGUGGCCGGCCACACUGGGACUGAGACCCGGCCCAGACUCCUACGGGAGGCAGCAGUGGGGAAUAUUGCACAAUGGGCGCAAGCCUGAUGCAGCGACGCCGCGUGAGGGAUGGAGGCCUUCGGGUUGUGAACCUCUUUCGCCAGUGAAGCAGGCCUGCCUCGUUUGUGGGCGGGUUGACGGUAGCUGGAUAAGAAGCGCCGGCUAACUACGUG
rnacentral:rRNA from 1 species